UAUUCUGCCCUACAGGGAAGGAUGAGAAGCUUCGACUAAGGUUCGACUCGAGCGAAGCGAG
rnacentral:sRNA from 1 species